rnacentral:rRNA from 1 species
AGAGUUUGAUCCUGGCUCAGGAUGAACGCUGGCGGCGUGCCUAACACAUGCAAGUCGAGCGGGAACUCCUUCAACGAAACUUCGGUCGAGUGAGAGGAUGGAUAGCGGCGGACGGCUGAUUAACGCGUAGGUCAGCUGCCCCACACACAGGGAUAACCUCGGGAAACUGGGAUUAAUGCCUGAUGAUGCCGAGAGAUCACAUGGUCACUCCGCCAAAGAUUUAUCGGCAUGGGAUGCGCCUGCGUCUGAUUAGUUAGUUGGUGAGGUAACGGCCCACCAAGACAGCGAUCAGUAGCCGACCUGAGAGGGUAAUCGGCCACAUUGAAACUGAGACACGGUCCAAACUCCUACGGGAGGCAGCAGUGGGGAAUGUUGCACAGUGGGCGAAACCCUGAUGCAGCAACGCCGCGUGAGCGAUGAAGGUCUUUGGAUUGUAGAGCUAUGUCCUAAGGGAAGAAGAAAGUGACGGUACCCUAGGAGGAAGCCCCGGCUAACUACGUGCCAGCAGCCGCGGUAAUACGUAGGGGGCGAGCGUUAUCCGGAAUUAUUGGGCGUAAAGAGUACGUAGGUGGCUGCGUAAGAGAGAGGUGAAAGCCCGGGGCUCAACUCCGGCGAGCCUUUCUUACUGCGUGGCUUGAGUGCAGGAGGGGAAAGUGGAACUCCAUGUGGAGCGGUGAAAUGCGUAGAUAUUUGCCAGAACACCGGUGGCGAAAGCGUCUUUUAGACAGUCAAUGACAGUGAGGCACGGAAGUGUGGGGAUCAAACAAGAUUAGAUACCCCUGGUAGUCCACGCCGUAAAACGAUGAGCACUAGCUGUCGGGAUAUAACUAUUUCGGGCCCGCAGUUAACGCAAUAAGUGUUCCGCCUGGGGGAGUACGGUGGCAGCUCUAAAACUCAAAGAAAUUGACGGGGGCCCGCACAAGCGGAGGACCAUGUGGUUUAAUUGGAUGUAUACGCGAGGACCCUUACCGGGGCUUGAAAGUUAGCGACGGGCUCCGAAAGAGGUCUUCCCUUUGGGGCGCGCAGUUAGGGGGUGCCAGGUUGUUGUUCACUUGGGCCGGGGGGAGUUUGGUUAAAUUCCAUAAAGAACGCCACCCCUUCCGCCAGUUGCCAAGGAGUAAAGUUGGGGAAUUUGGGGGGACUGCCCCCGCAAGGUGCGAGGAAGGCGGGGAUGACGUCAAAUCAGCACGGCCCUUACGUCCGGGGCGGCACACGUGUUACAAUGGGGGGUACAGAGGGCAGCGACCUGGCGACAGGGAGCCAAUCUCAGAAAGCCCCUCUCAGUUCGGAUCGGAGUCUGCAACCCGACACCGUGAAGCUGGAUUUGC